GCAACAACAUUUGGAUCGUCGGUCUACCGAGCAAUAUCAUCCGCUCGGUAGAAGAUAUUGCCUUCAUCGUUAAGU
rnacentral:pre_miRNA from 1 species